AACCUCUGCAUUUUUAUAGGUCAGUCAGAUCCAUGGAAGUGAUCCCUGGGGUCAGACAUGCAGGGUAAGCAUAUAAGGGCCUUGAAUUUUUGCUGUGGGAAUGUGAAAAACACGGGAAGCUGCUCUCUGCCAAGUUAUUUCCCCAAGGAUCUGCUUUACAUACUGACAAUCAAUGACCUGUCAGGUGUAGUUAUGCACCACAGCAAUGAUAUGAGGUCAAUUAGAUGAAACCAAGGUAGGUAUUCCCUGCAGAUCCCAGCUAUCUAUUUAACACUGUCAAGCUGAGUUUGCCUUGCUAAAGAGCAUCCUCUUUCUGUUUAUUUUUAGAUUUUAUUAACUCUGGACUUGCAUCUAAUCUGCGAAAUUC
rnacentral:lncRNA from 12 species